GGCUUUGGCGGCCAGAGGGAGCUCUGCCAACUGACCAGUGAGGAGGUCCCCAAGGAUGGGUUCAAGGGGCUGAAGAGCAGCAGCUGAAGAUCAGAGGCAACUUGAAAUGGGCCAGCGUGCUGUGCGUGUGAAGUGGAAAGAAAAAGAAUAAUCCUUCUGAAAAGGUAACACUGUCUCAGGGCCAGCGACAUCUUGGGAAGUAACUUGCUCAGGCCGUGGACUGCGAGGCCGAGUGCAGGACGAGUCGAUCUGUAGAACUAUGGCACUGUGACGCACCGUAGCGGGCCGGGCCACACUGGAUCCUGCAGGCACUUUGCAGUGGGCCACAGGACCGUGAAGGAUGACAGGAGCCAGUGAGAUCCGGAUACUCCUCCCUCCUUCGACCCAAGAGAACACAGCAGACAAUGCAAAGAGCCUUAAAGGCUUAGAAAACUGUAGCUAAGAGGCACUAAGGGAGAAGAGUUUAAUCCAGUUCCGAUGUUUAACAGAGAAAGAGUGAGGGGUUUUCAUGGGUCCAAUCUCAAGCAUUCUUUUGAGGAAGGAAAGGAACCAAAGUAGUGUAGCAUAACGCAGCCAGUCUGGAGGAGAAGGGAAAAGGGCGCGCAUCUCCGUGCCCAGGUGACAUAGGCGGCCUCCCCUGCCACUCCUUUGUCACCCCAAGCCAGCCAUGGCCCAGCUUCCUGGCCCUUCCCGUCCUCAUCUUCCCACGAAUUUCAUUUUGGAAGACUUGGUCAAACACACAAGCAACUGAUCCCUCAGAAGGCUUCUCUCUCCCCGGCUGGAAUCCACGACCCACAUGCCACACCUUAGGCUACUGGAUGACACCUUGAGUCAUGAACUGCAGGAUUUAAAACAGUGGCCUCCCGAGUGAAAAUCCAAACCCAAUAAAUCCAAACCCAAUAAACUGGGCACAGGAGCUGUGGUGAACACACGCAAUGCAACAUUACCCUGCCUUUACAGGAAGUAGGGUUCUGAUGCAUGCUACACGCUACACGGAGAAGCGCUGCAGACACUGUGCUAGUGAGUUAAGCCAGAUGCAAAUGGGAAUCAGUGUCUGAUUCCUCCUACAUGAGGUCGGUAGAGUAGCCAAACCCAGAGGGACAGAAGGUAGAAAGGUACAUGCCGGGGUUGGAGGAGAGGGAAGUAGGGACUUCCAGUGGGGUGGGUAGAGUUUCAGUUUGAGAUGACGAAAAGGUCUAUAGAUGGAUGGUGCUGAUAUCUACACGGCAGUGUGAAUGCACUUAAUGCUGCUCAACUGCAUGCUUAGAAAUGGUUAAAGCAGUGAAGUUUCUUACAGCAAUAAAAAGAAAGUAGUAGUGGAAGACAGCUUCUCCCCCAGCCUCAAAUCUGCACAUGAAUGUCCAAGUCGCACCUGAAUCAGCCUGACUGCUACAUGGAAGCAUGGCAGGCUCCCU
rnacentral:lncRNA from 1 species